AUGCCAAUAAACGGGUCCGCUGGAACGGAAAGGGACAAACGGGUGGGAAGAACCCGUCGGCCUGCCUUGGAUAAUGUGUCUCCGGUUAAACAUUCUCCUCGAUUCUUCCUUUCAGGCUCGAUCGUCUGUAGUCCUCUUUUGAGCGCCGGGAAUAUCAGAACUUUAAACGCGUUAUGUAACGGAUUCACAAUGUCAUCUGUGGAACAUCAAACAACUCUUAUAAGCCUGCGAUCUUUUCAUCUCGCCCGUUUCCGAGAGGCUCCGAGUUGCUUCUCAAUGAGGGUGUUUUGGGUUUUUUUACGAGAUCAAGUGGCUGAUCUAUCGCUGGAGUCAGUUCAUGAUGAAGAGGGAAAUAUACAUUCCAAGGUCGCGCUGAACACUGGAGGACGCCGAGCUUCUGAAAGCUGGCGAGUUUCAUCCACCUGUUUGUGUCUUUUUGAAGAGGGACUUGUUUGUCUGCGUUGUCCUCGAACCAACAAGCAGGAAACCACAGUAAGUAACACAAAAACAAAAAGGUCCACCAAUCACACCAAGCUUCCCAGGGCGGCGGCGGCGGCGUAAAUAGAAGCUUGAUUUCCUGUGCGCCACAUUCAUAACGGCCUCUGUGUCAGCAAAACCCCGACCGCCCUGCAAACUGCCUCUCGUGCGACUCCAAUUAAGGGGGCCGUUGCUCCCACUCCCAAACAAUUAAAGUGCCGCUGUGGCUUUUCAACAUCAUUUCACUCAGCCAUCACUCGCCUCGCCGGGCGUCCGGUGAAGAACAACGUCCUCCUCGGAAAAGACAGCGGGGCCGCUUGCUGCGAGACGCCGCGGAUGUAUUUUCCCCGCCUGCGAAUGUGACAGGAGCUAAAUAUAGUCUUUGGCUCCUCUCCGCCACGCUCAGCCUUAUUUGCAUGCAAUCAUUUGUUUGAUUUGUAUCAGCGUGCGGAAUCUGGACGGCGGCGAUCCUGCGGGCUCCCGAGAACGAGCCAGAACAAAUAACGCUCCGCGGCGCAGGCGGAAAAAAAGGGAAGAUAGGGAGGAAUUAUCUUGCACCGAGGAGCCCAAAAAGGCAGGACGGCGUCAAGUGACUCUGUGCAGCUGGAGCCAGAGGCCAAAAGCCCCCCCCCCCCGAACCCCCCCAACACAAAGUCCACCCCCGCAAUUUAAACAUUCAUCUCCCAAACUCCUCCGCACGCCACUAUCUGCACCGCCGCCGCCGCCAACGGACCUCCCCUCCCUCUCCACGCCCGACAUCCAACGCAAAUAUUGUCCAUCACUGGCAGUUUGGCAGAAUAGAUUUCUGGAGCCGAAUCGGGCGGCGAGCGUGCCGCCGGCAUUAAUUAGGCCGCCGCGGGGGCCAGCGUGGGAAAAACGCUCGCGGUGCUAAAAGCCCAAAACCGCGGGUCGCCAGAUUGUCGACGUACUCUGAGGCACUUCGAGCUUCGCGUCGCUGACGCCUGCUCUGAAUACUGAACAGAAACGGAAUAUCUGAGCCAAACAGAAAGGGGCCGAGCUCAGGACGCAGCCUUUUAAAAAAGGUGAACAAUAUGGCCGCCGACGUGAACUAACUGCAUGUAAAAAGUAGGAUGUUUUUUAAAAUGUGGGACGAGGAGGUGAAGAGAGACACGGGGUAUCAGGCUGACACGAUGUCAUUACUGUGAUCAAAGCCCACCUCAGUGCAACGCGAUUAGCGUCAUCCCUUAUUUGACAAGCCUGCCAGGGAGGUGGAACCAACCGGGGGUGGCAACGCCCAGCUGCCAAUCAUUCCCGCUGAUAGGCAAACCUUCACUGUCACGUUUUUAGUUUGGACGCCAAGUUGCUUUCGCCGUGGUUACGCGUCGUGCUUCAGGAGACGUCUCGAAACGCUCAAAUGACGAAUACGGCGAGAUGCUGUACGUCUCCAUGGCGAUGCAGAGAGAGGACCGCUCAGGGCUCCAUGGAACAUGGAAUUUUUUUGUCAUUUUCAUCGACUUGAAAAAAAAUGGUCUUGAAUGUGGUUUCGUGAAUGAAGCGGUUGGAAGUUGCUCCGCACGGAGCCUUCUGCUAAACUGACGUCGGCGAGUGUCGGCCGGCGUGCGCUGGAGCGAGAGAGAGAGAGAGAGAGAUUGAGCGCGUUUGUCACGAUGACUGUGAAGGUAUAACAGUAACUUCACAGCACAGCCGGGCGUGAAGGCAUGAAAAGACUUGAGUUAAGGCCUCCUCCACGAUAGCGCUCACAACAACCCAGCCACAUUCCUUUGGUCUCCGCCGGCAGACUCUUUCAAAUGAUUGAAAUGCAAAGUUAUUGUAGAACACCAAAUGGCACGGACUCCAAACACAAAUAUGCAAUUAUAGUUCAAGAGGUGCCAUUCUGUUUACUGAGUGACGCCUAAUCUCCAGUAAACCUCCCAGUUUCACGUCCAUUUUGAGCUAAACUCAAUUGGAAUUACAAUAAAUUUAAUUUAAAUUAGUUUUCAGAAGUGUCAAAACAUCAACCGGUCGAAUCACAAGGCGGGCCGGACACUGUUGGGUAUUUCUGCUGCGAAAUGCAGGGAUGUAUUUAGAAUAAGUACAAUUACUAACUUUUUAUUAUGUCAUUCUGAGAUUCAGAAUUUUUUUGAUGUAAUUAUAUCGCGCCUUUUUAAAUUAUGAGCAUUCAGAAACCUCAAAGACUUGUACUUGUUUCCAAAAACGCCCAUAACCUCUAGCCCUCUGUGACGUUCGAGGCUCCCUUCAAACGCUGUUACCACGGCGCCCUACGCGCUCUCCUCGCGCAUCUCUUUUUCUCAUCGCGUCUGACGGAGCCUCCGGGCCACACGGAGUCUGAGGCGCCCGAGACGCCGUCCGCGAGGACCUGCACCGGAUUUAGUCGCCUUUUUCGGUCGCGGGAGGAUUACCAGCAUCUGAUAAGCGUCCCGCACCCUCCAAAAAGAAAAGAGGGAACAAAAAUGGAACAUUUAAAGAUUAAUAGCAGAGCCUCUGCAACGGUUUCCCCUAACUGCCUCCUUCCCUCAGCUUAAUCCCGGGGAUGGUGAUGUGAGUCUGGCAGCACACUUUGCCCCGCUCAUCAUGAAGCACUCUGUAGCAGUUACCUACCACUAGCCUUUAUACUGCACUGUAUUAAUUCACACUUUCCUGGCGGCAUUUCACGGAGAGAAAUGGUGCGUGCGCCACCGCCGGCCUUCAGAUCCAUUCUUUAUUCUAACGAACGGGAGCCCAGCGUGGAGAGGACGUUUAAACGGGCAGCAACGUUAUACAUGCAUGCUUUUGUUCUCGUGUGUGUAAGAAGACCGUAAAUAAAAAUUAAAAACAAAACGGUACUCACCCAAAAGUAGCCUUGAGGUAAGGAGGUGCUCGCUGCGGAGAAGCCCAACAGCGCACAGUGAACCGGGUUGUGGAGGGCAGCUUCAAGCUGCAAGAGAGCAAAUGGAUAUUUACUGUGUGUGUGUGUGUGUGUGUGUGUGUGUGUGUGUGUGUGUGUGUGUGGCCCGAUGCUGACACCCUUAUUUUCAUAUUCUUUUGAUGUGGUCAAAAGAGCCGAGUGACUGCUGGCUUUUCAUUGGGUGGUUGCUGACAGGAAAGUGCCUCGACUCAGCCGCUGACAAGAAGUUUGUCAGUCCACAUUGGAGGUUGGAGGCUUUCCGCCCACUUCAAAGCCACGUGAGAGUGUGAAAAGAGUCGGCUUCUGAUUUCUCAGAUAUAUUUUCACAAGGCCGUGGAUAAAUAAUAGAAAAAUGCAAACAGACAAUCGCCUGAAAUGUUGGUAUUUGAAUCCAAACUGAUAAACAAACCUUAUUUAUGCGUUUCUCCAUUACAUUUAGGUGUUACUUUUAGUUUGCUCACCACGGCUCCCGUUAGAUUGCAACUUUUAAACCGAGGCCGAACGAGCCGAUAUCUUAUUAAUAAGGAAAACAAAUCAGAAUUCCUGAGUUGUGUGGCAGACUUGUUCACGUGAAGCCGCCGUGAUGGAGGUUGACAUUUAAAGUGUACAGCUGGCUGAUGCAUCAAAGCCUCCUGUGGUGAAAGCCGCUCCUCUAACCGACAGUCCGGCGGGUAGAAAAUUAUUAUUAUUUUGGUGUGUGACCGCUGAGGGUGGGCAAUGUGACAGACAGAACGGCUAAUUUUGUGUGUUGGGGUAGUUUUGUGGAGGGAGAGGGGGGGUGAGUCGCUUUGAAAGGGUGGGGGAGGAACCGCGGAGAGGGUCAGCGAUGAGCACCGCGCAUCUUUAAAUGUCGUCCUUGGCGGCGGCAACCAUCAAUCACACGGAUUCAUAGCCUCUCUCCGGGCCAAGACCCGCCCCCCUUUUCUCUCCUGGCGUGUGUGUGUCUUUGUGUAAACAAAAAGAGGACGCCGGCCAGAUAACUGCCCCCCCCCCCCCCCCCCCCCCCACCCCCGUGUCUGUCUCCAUCUAUUCAUAUUCACUACGCAGAUGUGUGACUCGUCCUCUCUAUCAAUCUCUCAGUCCCACUUUCCCAUUUCUCGUUCCCGUCCCUCCGUCUCCCCCCGUCUGCCCGUCCUCCGGCCGGGGCUGUGAAAGGGUUUGUUUUUUUCGAUAGGUAAUUAAGUGGCGGCCAUUGCAGUGUCCAUAUGGAAGCCGUGCGGUAGAGAGAGAGCAGCAGUGGCGCCGGACCAGAGGGACUGCAGCUCUGCAGCAGACCGGGUCCGGUAGUUCGCCGCUGUUUAUCGGGCCGCCUGAGGCCCGGCGGCGAGCAGUGAAGGCCGAUCUAUUUAUACCCGGAUUGCUGUGCACGUUGUCACUCUCCAGAGUCGGUCUCGCAGGACCAGUGGGACCUUUCCAGUCCCAUCGCGGCGUUAUAUUCAGGUACGGGAAGGCUGGAAUGUGCAUUCAUGUGCAAACAGAGAGGCUGCUGCUUUAAUGACAUAUUUACCAUUUGAAAAAAUGUGAUUGGGUUUAAGAAGAAAAUUUUGUUUUGAAAUAUAACUGAGUGAGAUGAAUGACUGCGCAUUAUUCACGAGAAAUGUUCGACAGCACUCUUGAAUACACAAUCGCACAAUGAUUAGAAUGAAGCUGUCAAUUUUCUCAAUUAAACCUUUCAACGUGAAGCAGCAUUUCAUGUGAGAACGGCUGGAAGUGCACAAGACCACUGAGGCGAGGACGGAUCGCUUUCCCACCCAAGUGCAGACAGAGGCCGUGAUCAAUACCGUAAAGCACUGGCACACUUAUCGGACUCCCUCGGUAAACAGCACAUAACAGCGAAGCCUGUGUGGAUCAUUUGCACGUGUGAACGUGGCGAUUAUUUUGACGAGCACAAAAGCAAAUGUUGUCUUCGGCGGAGAUCGUCCCGUCGGCGAUCCAAAGGCACCAUUUUAAAAAAUCCAUGGGAUCC
ensembl:lncRNA